ncrna:unclassified sequences skipping-rope RNA
GGUUAUUAAGGUGGGAAAGGUUCCCCACGCGCUCACGAUGAGUUAUCAGAGAUCCUGGAUACGCCGCCCAGGUAAUAACC